rnacentral:rRNA from 1 species
UACGUAGGGUGCAAGCGUGUCCGGAAUUAUUGGGCGUAAAGAGCUCGUAGGCGGUUUGUCGCGUCUGCUGUGAAAUCCCGAGGCUCAACCUCGGGCCUGCAGUGGGUACGGGCAGACUAGAGUGGCGGUAGGGGAGAUUGGAAUCCUGGUGUAGCGGUGGAAUGCGCAGAUAUCAGGAGGAACACCGAUGGCGAAGGCAGAUCUCUGGGCCGUAACUGACGCUGAG